UUACGGCCAUAUCAGGUUGAAGCACCAGUUUUCGUCCAAUACUCGAAAUGAAGCAACGUCGAGCCUGGUCAGUACCUAGGUGGGUGACCGCUUGGAAAUACCAAGUGCU